AUCUGCAUCGUCGGUACUGACGGGUCAUCCUAACCUCGGUUUAGAGCCCGCCGGGAUAGACACCCUUGAUUUUGAGUACCUUUUCGUUUCCUCGGCGGGUUCGCUCGCCGGUGGACAGCCAAAAACUCUUUGCAAUAGCAGUAUCUUCUGAGAAAAAACAAAUAGUCAAAACUUUCAACAACGGAUCUCUUGGUUCUGGCAUCGAUGAAGAACGCAGCGAAAUGCGAUAAGUAGUGUGAAUUGCAGAAUUCAGUGAAUCAUCGAAUCUUUGAACGCACAUUGCGCCCUCCGGUAUUCCGUUGGGCAUGCCUGUUCGAGCGUCAUUAGGAACUUCAAGCUCAGCUUGGUGUUGGGUGCUUGUCCCCGCCCCGCGGUGGACUCACCUCAAAUGCAUUGGCGGCCGGUAUGUUGGCUACAGCGCAGUACAACGCGUCUGGCGUCUUGAUAUACUGGUCCUCCAGAAGCCCCUUCUUUUGACUUGACCUCGGAUCAGGUAGGGAUACCCGCUGAACUUAAGCAUAUCAAUAAGCCGGAGGAA
rnacentral:rRNA from 1 species